rnacentral:rRNA from 1 species
AUGAACGCUGGCGGCGUGCCUCAUACAUGCCAGUCGCGCGAACAGACGAGGAGCUUGCUCCUCUGACGUUAGCGGCGGACGGGUGAGUAACACGUGGAUAACCUACCUAUAAGACUGGGAUAACUUCGGGAAACCGGAGCUAAUACCGGAUAAUAUAUUGAACCGCAUGGUUCCAUAGUGAAAGACGGUUUUGCUGUCACUUAUAGAUGGAUCCGCGCCGCAUUAGCUAGUUGGUAAGGUAACGGCUUACCAAGGCGACGAUGCGUAGCCGACCUGAGAGGGUGAUCGGCCACACUGGAACUGAGACACGGUCCAGACUCCUACGGGAGGCAGCAGUAGGGAAUCUUCCGCAAUGGGCGAAAGCCUGACGGAGCAACGCCGCGUGAGUGAUGAAGGUCUUCGGAUCGUAAAACUCUGUUAUUAGGGAAGAACAAAUGUGUAAGUAACUAUGCACGUCUUGACGGUACCUAAUCAGAAAGCCACGGCUAACUACGUG